AUCGAACGCUGGCGGCAGGCCUAACACAUGCAAGUCGAACGAGUGGCGGACGGGUGAGUAAUGUCUGGGAAACUGCCUGAUGGAGGGGGAUAACUACUGGAAACGGUAGCUAAUACCGCAUACCAUCGGAUGUGCCCAGACGGGAUUAGCUAGCAGGUGGGGUAAAGGCUCACCUAGGCGACGAUGCCUAGCUGGUCUGAGAGGAUGACCGGCCACACUGGGACUGAGACACGGUCCAGACUCCUACGGGAGGCAGCAGUAGGGAAUAUUGCACAAUGGACGCAAGCCUGAUACAGCCAUGCCGCGUGUAUGAAGAAGGCCUUCGGAUUGUAAAAUACUUUCAGCAGAGAAGCGUUACCCACAGAAGAAGCACCGGCUAACUCCGUGCCAGCAGCCGCGAUAAUAC
rnacentral:rRNA from 1 species